rnacentral:rRNA from 1 species
GUGGGGAUGACGUCAAAUCAUCAUGCCCUUUAUGACCUGGGCUACACACGUACUACAAUGGCGUUUAACAAAGAGAAGCAAAGCCGCGAGGCAGAGCAAAUCUCCAAAAAACGUCUCAGUUCGGAUUGUAGGCUGCAACUCGCCUACAUGAAGUCGGAAUUGCUAGUAAUCGUAGGUCAGCAUACUACGGUGAAUACGUUCCCGGGNCUUGUACACACCGCCCGUCAAACCAUGAGAGUUGGCAACACCCGAAGUCGGUAGUCUAACCGCAAGGAGGACGCCGCCGAAGGUGGGGUUGAUGAUUAGGGUUAAGUCGUAAC